UGCAACGCGAAAAACCUUACCUACCCUUGACAUGUCACUAACGAAGUAGAGAUACAUUAGGUGCCCGUAAGGGAAAGUGAACACAGGUGCUGCAUGGCUGUCGUCAGCUCGUGUCGUGAGAUGUUGGGUUAAGUCCCGCAACGAGCGCAACCCUUGUCUUUAGUUGCCACGCAAGAGCACUCUAAAGAGACUGCCGGUGACAAACCGGAGGAAGGUGGGGAUGACGUCAAGUCCUCAUGGCCCUUAUGGGUAGGGCUUCACACGUCAUACAAUGGUGCAUACAGAGGGUUGCCAACCCGCGAGGGGGAGCUAAUCUCAGAAAAUGCAUCGUAGUCCGGAUCGUAGUCUGCAACUCGACUACGUGAAGCUGGAAUCGCUAGUAAUCGCGGA
rnacentral:rRNA from 1 species